AGCAGAUCUCAUGGCGCUGCAGUCUCAGCAGCACUGGCUCCCUCCAGCCCUGAGUGCCAACAGGCAAACUUUGCUGAUUUGGAAACUGCCAGCCCAGUACUGAGUCUAUGAUGGACUGGCUUCAUUCAAUAUCUAGAGUUUUCCUCUCCCUAUCUAACACUUUCCUCAUUUUUCUCCUUAUUAGGACAUCUCCUGGAUAAUUACUACAUUUGUUUUCCCUAGUGAUUGCUAGGUAUUUCCUAACAUCACUUUAAUGCUCCUGUUUGUUGAAAGUGUCUUGUCCCCUGGAUAUCCUGGGUCCUUGCUGGUAAAGAGGAAGGCCAGGCUGGCAAGUAUACAGACCCCUAAAGAGAGGGGCACAGAGAAUGAAUUCUGUUCUCAGCCCUCCUUCAGACUUACUGGGAACCUGCUCAAACCUAGUAACCGCAGUGCGCUUUGGAUCCGGCUUUGUAUAUGCAUAUGUAUAUGGUAAAGGCAUGGCUAGCACUUCCCCAUCCUGACAGGAGGCCUUGGCAAGAAGGAAAACCCAAGUGUUGGGCUCGCGUUUUCAACACUGCUCUGCAUGAAAAGCACCUAUGGUAUGUGCCUGCCAUUCUAGCUCACAUGAAUCCCCAC
rnacentral:lncRNA from 1 species